UUAAUUUGAGAGUUUGAUCCUGGCUCAGGACGAACGCUGGCGGCGUGCCUAAUACAUGCAAGUCGAACGAACUCUGGUAUUGAUUGGUGCUUGCAUCAUGAUUUACAUUUGAGUGAGUGGCGAACUGGUGAGUAACACGUGGGAAACCUGCCCAGAAGCGGGGGAUAACACCUGGAAACAGAUGCUAAUACCGCAUAACAACUUGGACCGCAUGGUCCGAGUUUGAAAGAUGGCUUCGGCUAUCACUUUUGGAUGGUCCCGCGGCGUAUUAGCUAGAUGGUGGGGUAACGGCUUACCAUGGCAAUGAUACGUAGCCGACCUGAGAGGGUAAUCGGCCACAUUGGGACUGAGACACGGCCCAAACUCCUACGGGAGGCAGCAGUAGGGAAUCUUCCACAAUGGACGAAAGUCUGAUGGAGCAACGCCGCGUGAGUGAAGAAGGGUUUCGGCUCGUAAAACUCUGUUGUUAAAGAAGAACAUAUCUGAGAGUAACUGUUCAGGUAUUGACGGUAUUUAACCAGAAAGCCACGGCUAACUACGUGCCAGCAGCCGCGGUAAUACGUAGGUGGCAAGCGUUGUCCGGAUUUAUUGGGCGUAAAGCGAGCGCAGGCGGUUUUUUAAGUCUGAUGUGAAAGCCUUCGGCUCAACCGAAGAAGUGCAUCGGAAACUGGGAAACUUGAGUGCAGAAGAGGACAGUGGAACUCCAUGUGUAGCGGUGAAAUGCGUAGAUAUAUGGAAGAACACCAGUGGCGAAGGCGGCUGUCUGGUCUGUAACUGACGCUGAGGCUCGAAAGUAUGGGUAGCAAACAGGAUUAGAUACCCUGGUAGUCCAUACCGUAAACGAUGAAUGCUAAGUGUUGGAGGGUUUCCGCCCUUCAGUGCUGCAGCUAACGCAUUAAGCAUUCCGCCUGGGGAGUACGGCCGCAAGGCUGAAACUCAAAGGAAUUGACGGGGGCCCGCACAAGCGGUGGAGCAUGUGGUUUAAUUCGAAGCUACGCGAAGAACCUUACCAGGUCUUGACAUACUAUGCAAAUCUAAGAGAUUAGACGUUCCCUUCGGGGACAUGGAUACAGGUGGUGCAUGGUUGUCGUCAGCUCGUGUCGUGAGAUGUUGGGUUAAGUCCCGCAACGAGCGCAACCCUUAUUAUCAGUUGCCAGCAUUAAGUUGGGCACUCUGGUGAGACUGCCGGUGACAAACCGGAGGAAGGUGGGGAUGACGUCAAAUCAUCAUGCCCCUUAUGACCUGGGCUACACACGUGCUACAAUGGAUGGUACAACGAGUUGCGAACUCGCGAGAGUAAGCUAAUCUCUUAAAGCCAUUCUCAGUUCGGAUUGUAGGCUGCAACUCGCCUACAUGAAGUCGGAAUCGCUAGUAAUCGCGGAUCAGCAUGCCGCGGUGAAUACGUUCCCGGGCCUUGUACACACCGCCCGUCACACCAUGAGAGUUUGUAACACCCAAAGUCGGUGGGGUAACCUUUUAGGAACCAGCCGCCUAAGGUGGGACAGAUAAUUAGGGUGAAGUCGUAACAAGGUAGCCGUAGGAGAACCUGCGGCUGGAUCACCUCCUUUCUAAGGAA
rnacentral:rRNA from 1 species